UACGUAGGGACCGAGCGUUUGUCCGGAAUCAUUGGGCGUAAAGAGCGUGUAGGCGGCCACUUAAGUCCUGCGUGAAAUCUUGCGGCUCAACCGCAAGCGGUCGUGGGAAACUGGGUGGCUAGAGUGCGGGAGAGGAGAGUGGAAUUCCUGGUGUAGCGGUGAAAAUGCGUAGAGAUCGGGAGGAACACCAGUGGCGAAGGCGGCUACCUGGACCAGCAUUGACACUCAAGCACGAAAGCGUGGGGAGCAAACAGGG
rnacentral:rRNA from 1 species